GACAGAGGGUGCAAACGUUGUUCGGAAUUACUGGGCGUAAAGCGUGCGUAGGCGGUCCACUAAGUCGGGUGUGAAAGCCCUGGGCUCAACCCAGGAAGUGCACUCGAAACUGGCGGGCUAGAGUAUCGGAGAGGUUGGUGGAAUUCUCGGUGUAGAGGUGAAAUUCGUAGAUAUCGAGAGGAACACCAGUGGCGAAGGCGGCGACCUGGGCCAAUAUUGACGCUGAGGUGCGAAAGCGUGGGGAGCAAACAGG
rnacentral:rRNA from 1 species